CCGCAGAUUUGUUUUUUUUCCAUCCUGGUUGAACUUUCUAGCGUGACACUAAUAAGUUCAUUAGCAUCAUAUAUGCGGCUUAGCAGGGCGCGGGGGGCAUAGCCUAACAAAUGUGUGGAGUCAAUUGGUUUCCCAAGGGGACGCUCCUGAGAAGUUGGCUCACCAAGUCCCGACCCAGACUGCUGCUGCUCAUCGCCGGCUUGAAGAGGCCUCAGGUCACCCUCAUGCGCAGGAAAAGGAUGAAACGCACCAAAGUAGCAAAGGCCACGUAAGCGCAGCUGCAGUCGUAUGCCGCAUUUCACUUGAAUCGCUGACACAGAGAGAAGCUCCAUCUGCCGUCGACAUGAACGCAGACCCAGAAACAGAGAAAGCAUCUCAGUCGUCUCGGCCAAACAUACGAACUAAACACCAAAGCAGAAGCAGCAGAGGCUCAGAGAUUGUUGUGAAAAUGAGGGAUCUUCCACAAAGAUCCAGACCCCCCGACUAAGAUCCGGAGCCUCCCAGUGACAUUUGUUCAUCUUUCUCUCAAAUACACUUCUGUCAUGCAGAAUGUUGCAUGUUCACUACACAGCGUGUGACAGCACAUUAUUGCUCUUGCCUUUGCUUGACAGUGCUUUCCUUUCCUGUGUUCUCUGGUCAGGAUUUCAGGGACUUUUAUUUUUCGAUUCCUAAUGAUGUGUGUGGGUGAAAAAGAAGAAAAACAAUGAGAGAAAAAAAGAAAAGGGUAUAAUUGCCUUGAGCUAGUAAGCAACAGCACACCAGUGGGGUUUUCUGUUGAGCUCGUCAGACUAACGGUCUAUUACUGUGUCCUGAGGAGUAAAAUAUUUCAUUUACAUGACAAUAUCCAAUGAAAAAAAAAACAUUACAUCAGAGUUACAUAAAUCCAAAUGGAUUAUUCUGUGGCCCCCAUUAUCAUUUAGAAACCCCAAAAAAAUCAUCAUUGAAACAAAAAAAUAAUAAUCAAGCAGCUAUUUGACAUAGUUUAUAGAACUAAUUGGUUGUUACUGAAGACGUCCACAUAAUUAUUGAUAAAAACUGCACUAAUUGUUAGGUGAAGCAUGUCAAAUCUAGCGCAUAUAUCACACAAAAUCCAAGGAAAAAAUAAGAAAUUAUAUUUUGCAUUAAGAAAAUGACCAUAUUUUAGGACCAUUGUAAUUUUUGUUUACAUUGUGACAUUAUUUUCAUGACAAUUAAGAACAUUUUACCCCA
rnacentral:lncRNA from 1 species